CGAUCCGCCUGGGAAUUACGAACACUAGUCUGAAACCCAAAGGACUUGGCGGUGCUUUACAUCCACCUAGAGGAGCCUGUCCUAUAACCGAUAAACCCCGUUCAACCUCACCCUCUCUUGCUUUAUUCCGCCUAUAUACCGCCGUCGUCAACUUACCCUGUGAAGGCCCAAUAGUAAGCACAAUCGCACAGCCCAGUACGUCAGGUCGAGGUGUAGUGUAUGAAGAGGGGAAGAGAUGGGCUACAUUCGCUAACAUUAG
rnacentral:rRNA from 1 species